rnacentral:lncRNA from 1 species
GCUAGCAGGAAACCAGGUGGCACACACAAGAGCCUGAUUUCUAACUAAAAACGAAGACUUCUUAACAUCCCCACAGCACAAGACCACCAGAAAACCCAAGCCCGCUCUGCUCAGAGAAGCCCAAUCCGAAACGUCUGAGAAAUCAGGAGAGUACAGCAGCUCUGAAAACCACCUUCUGCAUCUGGACCUGGCAAGAAAUGGACCUGGGGAUGGCUGGAAAUCAUGAUGAAGAGGAGACAGACAAACAGGAGGCAUAAAGUGAUCUGCUGCUUCUGGGCUGUCCUUGCCCAGACAGGAGGUUCUGGAUUCUAGGCCUCCAACUGUUGCCAGGAAAGAACCCUCAGACUGCCUCUUCCUGGGGCCCCAGAGCCAUGAUGACCACUCUGAGAAGCCCCAGCACUGCCCAUGUGGAUG